rnacentral:misc_RNA from 1 species
CUUGCCUGUCGCCUCGCCUCGCCUCACGUCGUUCUCGUCGCGGUGGAGCCGCGGCCGCGGGCCACGCGCCCGGGGCACGGACGCUGCUGCGGCCAUCAACUCGUCAGGCCGGAAAGCCAACCACUGCAGCAUCAUCGCAUCAGGCAGGCACCAGCGGGAAUAAAAGAGAUGAACUACUCAUCAAUUCUUUGCCCCCUGUCCAGGUUCGGUGGCUCCGCCCGUCCGGCGGGCGGUAUUGCCCUACCCGUGGGCCGUGGGCCGUCCCGCCCGUGUCCGACCCUGUUUCUUUUCCAGGCGCCCGCGUUGCCCCGCCCGUCCUCGUCCGCCAUAUAAGCGCCCCGCGGCGACCGCCUGCUCACCUCACCUCACCUCGUCCUCCUCCGACUCUCCGACCACCCGCAGGCCGCAGCAGCAACAGCCCAACAGGCAAAGCUUUGCUUAGCUCCUCAACUGCUCAAGGCAUCAGGCCGUCCUUCCUAGCCUAGCCAGUAAGCCAGAGGACACAACAGCCACACCCAGGCCUAUAUAUACACGCGCGCCAUGGCCUCCGCCUUCUUCUUCGACGCCGAGCCGGACUGCGAGCCCAGCCUGCUGCCCACGCUGGACGCCUGCGCGCUCUGCGCCAAGCCGCUGGGACGCGACUGCGACAUCUUCAUGUACAGAGGGGACACGCCCUUCUGCAGCGAGGAGUGCCGCGACGAGCAGAUGCAGCUCGACGCCAUCCGCGCCAGGCAGCAGGCCGCCAGGUCCGCCGCACGGAGGCAGCAGCAGCACUCCUCCAGAACGGAGUCCAGGCACCAGGAGUCCAUGAAGGUAUCCGUGGCGACCUGAACGGAGUCCUGAUGACUAGUACAAGACAUCCUCUUGUGCAGUUGUGUGUCAACAAGAUUUCUGCACAUGAAGAAACGUCGAUGGAGCCGGCGGGACACAGGACGUCGAUUUCUCCGUCGCUGUUGUCCUGCCUGAGCACCGCCGAUGGGACGAUGCUACCGUCUAUCGGCGCAACGGCACCCGGCCGGGGGCGAAGGGACCACUCGCUUUGAUCCUUGGCCCGUGCAGGGUAUGAAGAGUGUGUUUUAGCGUUGAUUGUACACCUGUUUGUUCUUUGUAAAGCCGGUGCAUGAUCUGGGAAUUUGUUUCCCAUGUGAGGUUUCAAAACGAUCUCUGCUCUACCACAACUCCACAAGCCAAGUUUGCAAGUGGGCGUCGUCAAGAACUCAAGAUCUAUGGCACAUACGUUUUCCUGUGUGUGGGUUCCCUUCCACUUGUCUCCAAUAUAUUCUUACAACAAGAGCAUCUC